CGGGAGGAAAAGAAACCAACAGGGAUUGCCUUAGUAGCGGCGAGUGAAGCGGCAAAAGCUCAAAUUUGAAAUCUGGCUCAUUCAGAGUCCGAGUUGUAAUUUGAAGAAGGUAUCUUUGGGUCUGGCUCUUGUCUAUGUUUCUUGGAACAGAACGUCACAGAGGGUGAGAAUCCCGUGCGAUGAGAUGAUCCAGGCCUAUGUAAAGUUCCUUCGAAGAGUCGAGUUGUUUGGGAAUGCAGCUCUAAGUGGGUGGUAAAUUCCAUCUAAAGCUAAAUAUUGGCGAGAGACCGAUAGCGAACAAGUACAGUGAUGGAAAGAUGAAAAGAACUUUGAAAAGAGAGUGAAAAAGUACGUGAAAUUGUUGAAAGGGAAGGGCUUGAGAUCAGACUUGGUAUUUUGUAUGUUACUUCUUCGGGGGUGGCCUCUACAGUCUAUCGGGCCAGCAUCAGUUUGGGCGGUAGGAGAAUUGCGUUGGAAUGUGGCACGACUUCGGUUGUGUGUUAUAGCCUUCGUCGAUACAGCCAGCCUAGACUGAGGGCUGCUGUUUAUACA
rnacentral:rRNA from 1 species